GAACGGCGCAUGACGUCAUCUUUUUUCGAGUUUGCAUCUGGCUUCAUCGAAUUAUAAGACGUUGUCACGUCAAAAACAUACAGAACAAAAGACAAAUGUCCCAAUGUGUAGUUGUCCUAGUCGGACGAAAGAGAGAGCAAUAUAGUAUAUAUCCUAGUUUGGUUUUCGCUAUUGGUCUAUUUAUCUUCUCGAGAUAUAUGUCGUGGAUGGCGAGCGUAUUAGGUCUACAGAGGUGUAAAUAUACAAAUUCAUUGGAUGAGGCCCUAGAAAAUUGCAGCGGCGGCUGCGCGGCGUUGUGCGUACUCGGUCGCCCGCAGCGAGGCGGACCACGACAGACGCGCCAGCAACGCCUCGCCGGCCAUCGCCGCAGACAUCACCCGCACCUGCAAACAGUCCAAAAGGAGUGAACAUGGCACGCUUUAGCAAUCGCGCGCUGUUUGGCCUUCUACUUGGGAUGAAUAACCUGCUUGACUGGAAGACUCCUAAAAAUAUUUAAGUUAUAUAGAGUGAUAGUAGUUCUAUUUUCUUCUAUCUCAAUUUUGCAUUCUGAACUAAUGGACAUUCAAGUACACUU